CGCAUUGUCUGAUGCAGAGAUCACCGCAAAGAUCCUUGCUGGUCUCGACCUUGAAUACAACCCUGUCGUUUCACCGCUUGCGGUUGGGUUGAACCAGUGUCUGUUCAGGAAUUGUACAGCUAGCUCCUGAGCUUCGAUG
rfam:Hordeum vulgare subsp. vulgare, WGS project CAJW01000000 data, contig: morex_contig_230191